rnacentral:tRNA from 1 species
GCCGCUAUAGCUCAGUGUUAGAGCACUGGUCUCGUAAACCAGGGGUCGUGAGUUCAAACCUCACUGGUGGCA